UGCAGUCGAGCGGUAAGGCCCUUUCGGGGUACACGAGCGGCGAACGGGUGAGUAACACGUGGGUGAUCUGCCUCGCACUUCGGGAUAAGCCUGGGAAACUGGGUCUAAUACCGGAUAUGACCUUUCAGUGCAUGCUGUUGGGUGGAAAGAUUUAUCGGUGCGAGAUGGGCCCGCGGCCUAUCAGCUUGUUGGCGGGGUAACGGCCCACCAAGGCGACGACGGGUAGCCGACCUGAGAGGGUGACCGGCCACACUGGGAAUGAGAACACGGCCCCAGACUCCUACGGGAGGCAGCAGUGGGGAAUAUUGCACAAUGGGCGGAAGCCUGAUGCAGCGACGCCGCGUGAGGGAUGACGGCCUUCGGGUUGUAAACCUCUUUCGACAGGGACGAAGCGCAAGUGACGGUACCUGUAGAAGAAGCACCGGCCAACUACGUGCCAGCAGCCGCGGUAAUACGUAGGGUGCGAGCGUUGUCCGGAAUUACUGGGCGUAAAGAGCUUGUAGGCGGUUUGUCGCGUCGUCCGUGAAAACUUGGGGCUCAACCCCAAGCUUGCGGGCGAUACGGGCAGACUUGAGUACUUCAGGGGAGACUGGAAUUCCUGGUGUAGCGGUGAAAUGCGCAGAUAUCAGGAGGAACACCGGUGGCGAAGGCGGGUCUCUGGGAAGUAACUGACGCUGAGAAGCGAAAGCGUGGGUAGCGAACAGGAUUAGAUACCCUGGUAGUCCACGCCGUAAACGGUGGGUACUAGGUGUGGGUUUCCUUCCACGGGAUCCGUGCCGUAGCUAACGCAUUAAGUACCCCGCCUGGGGAGUACGGCCGCAAGGCUAAAACUCAAAGGAAUUGACGGGGGCCCGCACAAGCGGCGGAGCAUGUGGAUUAAUUCGAUGCAACGCGAAGAACCUUACCUGGGUUUGACAUACACCGGAAACCUGCAGAGAUGUAGGCCCCCUUGUGGUCGGUGUACAGGUGGUGCAUGGCUGUCGUCAGCUCGUGUCGUGAGAUGUUGGGUUAAGUCCCGCAACGAGCGCAACCCUUGUCCUGUGUUGCCAGCGGAUUAUGCCGGGGACUCGCAGGAGACUGCCGGGGUCAACUCGGAGGAAGGUGGGGACGACGUCAAGUCAUCAUGCCCCCUUAUGUCCAGGGCUUCACACAUGCUACAAUGGCCGGUACAGAGGGCUGCGAUACCGUGAGGUGGAGCGAAUCCCUUAAAAGCCGGUCUCAGUUCGGAUCGGGGUCUGCGAACUCGACCCCGUGAAAGUUGGAGUCGCUAGUAAUCGCAGCUCAGCAACGCUGCGGUUAUACGUUCCCGGCCUUGUACCACCGCCCGUCACGUC
rnacentral:rRNA from 1 species